GCCUGAGGCUUGGGGCAGGGAAUCGGAGGAUGGAUACGGGAGGAUGCUGAGGUCACCCAGAGAGGGGAGGCCUGAGGCUUGGGGCAGGGAAUCGGAGGAUGGAUACGGGAGGAUGCUGAGCUAACCCAGAGAGGGGAGGCCUGAGGCUUGGGGCAGGGAAUCGGAGGAUGGAUACGGGAGGAUGCUGAGGUAACCCAGCGAGGGGAGGCCUGAGGCUUGGGGCAGGAAGGGUGAUGUGGACACCAGGUGUCCUCCCGGGGUGGCUCAGACACAGACACCAGACUUCCCGGGACAGCUCAGAUCCAGGCAUCCUGCCCUUGUUCCAGAAGAUCAGCCCCCGCCCUCCAUAUUCAGUAGGCAGGGCUCUCUCUAGAGUCCCAUGUACAUUACUAGGAUUUUCAAAGGUGUUGCUCGUCAUGUGGAUUUUUCUUUUUUCUUUUUUUGGUUAUAAAAUAAUGACUAAGUUUUUAAAGAGAGAGAUUUUAAAAAAUAGUAAGUGAACCCCCCCUCAUAAUUUUAACCCCGUCAUACAGAUUUCAUGUAUACCUCACCAGACAUUUUUCUGAUCUGUGAUUAAAAUUUCUUUUAUAAAACUGUCAUACUACUUAUAAAUAGCUGUGCGUCACUCUCCCCACAACACGGCAUCUUGAGCGCGCAAAGGACGGUGGUGGAUCACAUUCUGUGCUUUUUGCCAGAGCACAGGACUUCCUCCACCUGUGCCCAGCUGGACGGUCAGAAGGACGGACCUCGUGGAGCUGGGCCACCCUCCCCCAGCUCCACGUCCAGAGUCCGGGCGACUGUGGCCACAGCCUCAGUUCCGCGAGUGAGGGACUCGCGGCGGACAGUACAGCUUCAGGCAGCUUGAGGAGGCGGUGGCCCCUUCGGUCUCCCCUAAGGCUGGGUGGGGUCAGCCGAGUUUACAGUAGAGGGUUGACCUUAGACCCAGGACAGGGCUAUUUAAAGGAACGUGACACCGAGCCAAAAGCCUGGGGACCGCAGGGCCAGCUGCCCCGUACAGAGGCCUAGAUUCUCCUGCACUGGGAUCCACGUCCUUUGGCAAAGCACACUUUGCAGUCACUGACCGUGAGCUACAGAUAGUUUUCAUUAUGAAAUAGCAUAAAUGUACCAAUGGAGACAGCAACUGUACUAACAUCUGUAUGACUUUAUAGAAUACUGUCUGUAAUAUGGAUAUAAUAUGAUGAUAACACAAUUAUAACACUGUCGUCCCUUGGGAUCUGUGGGGGAUUGGUUGCAGGACCCCCCCAAGACGCCAAAAUCCACGGACGCUCAAGUCCCGUACAUAAAAUGGCAUAUAACCUACGCACAUUCUCCCGCGCACUUUAGUGAUCUCUAGAUUACUUGUAAUACCUAACACAAUGUAAAUGCCACGUAAAUGGUUGCCGGUGUGUGGUAAAUUCAAGUUUCGUUUUUGGAAUUUUCUGGAAGUGUUUUUUUCUGAAUGUUUUCAAUCCGCAGUUGGUUGAAUCUGCAAAUGCAGAACCCACAGAUGUGGAGGGCCAACUGUAUAUGAUAUUAUACACCAUACAUUAUAAUAUUAUUACAAUUAUAUCUGAUAUAUAAUAGAUAUUAGAUAUACUAGAUAUAAUUACAUUAUAAUUAUUAAUGAUACCUAAUCUUCCAUUAUAUUCUAAAUAAAUAUAUAUUCAUGUAAUUACAGAUAGAACAUUUAUACUUUACAAAUGUGUUUAUAUAUAAUAACAUGAAGUUUGGGAUUAACAUAUACACACUGCUAUAUAUAAAGUAGAUAAUCAACACGGACCUGCUGUAUAGCACAAGGAACUCUACUCAGUAUUCUGUAAAAACCUAAAUGGGAAAAGAAUCUGAAAAAGAAUAGAUAUAUGUAUAUGUAUAGCUGAAUCACUUUACUAUACACUUGAAACUAACACAACGUUGUAAAUCAACUAUACUCCAAUAUAAAAUAAAAAUUUUAAAAAAUAAAAGCUCUGAAACAGAAAACAAUAACAUAUGCUAUAGUAUGAUAUGAUAUUGAUAUCAUUCUCACUGAAUUCUGGUUAGUGGCAAUGUGGGGCUCGGACACCCUCCUCCCCUACAGUGCUGGCUCCACCCUGCUCACGUCGGAUUUACCACCGCCAGAUUCCCUAGGUGGGAGGCUGUGAUUGCCACAGCACCAGCAGGUGAAGUCAAUAACUUACCUCCACAACAAAUUAUAGCAGCCACAAAAAGGGCAAUAUCACUGUCGUCCAGCUCCAGUGCAUUAAACUUCAUUGCAAAAUCGAACUUGGGCUCCAUGAUAUCACAAAAUGGUUUUCUUAGGCUUUUUAGAAAUUCACGAGUUAUAAAACCAUUUCCAUAUGCUACCAGCAUCCCGUCUUUAUUCAUCACAGAAGACAGCAUUGCAAAUAUGGCCUCGUAAACUCCGUAUUUCAGCAAAGUGACUUGGUCGUUCAAGUCCAAGUUUGCGAACCCCGGGAUGGACUUGGCGAAUUCCGUGAGCUCCGUGACCGUCUCCACAGACGUGCACUGGCAGCAGUGGAAGAUGCGGACCUCUGCCUCCUUGUUCUGGAUGCCGUUGGCCACCAACUUGGCCACGAGAGUCUUCUCGGCCAUACAUAACGUCUCCAUGUCGUGUAUGACAAAAGGCUGAAAAGAAAAACACCGGAAUAAGUCGGGUGAUUGGCGACAAGCUGUCUGCUUAAUUAUCAAGAAAAUGAUGAGUAGCUGCAGUAUUCCAGCCACCUGUCGAGAAUCAAAUUAUGUACAAAACACAGUCCUCAUCCUUAAACAACCUCAAAAUUAGUUGGGGACAAGAAGACAUUUAAUAGAGGACAAUAUAAAUCAGUAAGAGAAUAAUCAUCGGCGCCUAAAACUGGGUGGGGAUUUCAUUGCUAAGAAAGUGAAGUUCUGGGAAUUCCCUGGCUGUCCAGUGGUUAGGACUCCAUGCUUCCACUGUAGGGGGCACAGGUUCGAUCCCUGGUCGGGGAACUAAGAUCCCGUAUGCCGUGUAGCAUGGCCAAAAAAAAAAAAAAAAAGUGAAGUACUGAUUUUGGCAAUAAAGCUAACAAGAAAGAGAAUAUUAGCAAAGCACUUUAAAUAUUUUAUAAUGUCCUCUAAAUUCCCAAAUACUACUGCAAUAGCCAGUAAUUACAAUAAUUCUUAAUUUUGCCAUUUUAUGAACUUCGCAGAUAAUCAUCAUUAUCCGACGCUGACUGUUGAAUGAAUAAAUUUGGCAUGUAAGUAAAUACAAGUCAGAACGUUGGCAUUUGUGUGGAAGUAAACAAACGAGCAUCGUUAAACCCUUGCUCUUGGGGGGUAAACUGGAAAGCCUUGAAGGACCCUCGUUUCCCGGUACAGGAGACUGAAAUCUUCCCACCACUGCUCCAUGUUCUGAGACAAAUACCGAAUCCCCAUGGCAGCUCCCUAAAUGUGGCCUUCCCAUUUGCAUCUAAACCCACCGUUCCUGCCAUUUUAUAAAGAUCUAGCAGAGGAAGGAAGAGAUGGUUGGCCAUGUUAUUUGAAGCCAACGUGCUCAGAAGCGAUGAUGUAUCUGGUGGGGCUUAGAAGAAUGGGCACAGAUACCACUGCUGGCCAAACUUUGUGCCAGCUCUGUGUGCAGAGCGGAAUAAAUGGCAGGCUCUGAGGGAUCUCUCUCAGCCUUAAUGUGUUCUACAGACCAAUAAUGAAGUGGGCUGAGGCAUUAUUUUCGAUCCCCACUGGAUAAACACUGAGUGUAUAAGAAGCCCAGUGAUUUUAAGAAUCACUCUGCCAGUGGGCAAAACACAUCACUGACAGUGCCUCUGUGCCCACGGCACGACGUGUGCCCUAUUUCUGGGCUCACAAGAGCAUCAGGAGGAAUCAGCACAAAGCCAUCUUCUGGGAACCUGCUGGGUAUACCUGGUACAGAGGUGGGUGUGUUGGGAUAAUGUGAUGCAUUGCCUACGAAAUGUUUAAACAGAAUUAGAAUUUGCAAGAUAGUGUUGGACAAAAAAAAAAAAGAUCUGAUUUCACAUCUGAGGAAAGGGAAUAUUUUUAAAAUUAUCUGUGAAUGACUGAAAACAUUCUGAAUACAGAACUCAAAGCCCAAUUUCUAACGAUCUCAAGUUUGAUGAAGGAAGAGUAAAACUGUCUCUCUCCAAAGACUUUAAAAGCAGGCCAGAACUUCCCGGUGGCCCAGUGGUUAAGAAUCCACCUGCCAAUGCAGGGGACAUGGGUUCAAGCCCUGGUCUAAGAAGAUCCCACAUGCUGCAGAACAACUAAGCCCGUGCGCCACAACUGCUGAGCCUGCGCUCUAGAGCCCACAAGCCACAACUACUGAGCCUACAUGCCACAACUACUGAAGCCCACGCGCCUAGAGCCCGUGCUCUGCAACAAGAGAAGCCACCACAAUGAGAAGCCCGUGCACCACAACGAAGAGUAGCCCCCGCUCGCCGCAACUAGAGAAAGCCUGCGCGCAGCAACGAAGACCCAACACAGCCAAAAAUAAAUAAAUAAAUUAAAAGCAGGCCAGAUUUACCACUGUUUUGAGAAAGUCUGGGGGCAGUUCUGCUUCACAGGAAGUUGGAGCUCGGAUUUAAAGUAUUAACGUUUACAGGAUGGACCAGAAAAAUGUUUUUAAAGGACAGGUGGCAGUACUCCCUCAAUUUCAGAAAAUAUUAUAAGGCCACCUUGACUUUAUUCAAAUCACUGGCUUUUCAAAAGUACAUUCAGCAGAAAUAAAGGUGUUAAAAAAAAAAAAAAAAGAAUCCUGUUGUCAAGAAAAACCCUUGAGAAACACUGAGUUAGAUAAAGUUAGAGUCUACCAGAGUCUUUCAUGUGAGUGUACACCGUGGACCUUUAAGAAUGGGAUUGGCAUAAAUAGUGGUUCCCAGUGUUUGACUGCAGAACGCUUAUUAUUAUUAUUAUACUGUUGUUGUUAUUUGGUAGGACAUCUCUUGGACUAGCACAGACUGGCUACACAAUUUGCAGGGCCCAGUGCAAAAUGACAAUGUGGGGUCCCUUAUUCGAAAGUGCUUACGAAUUUCAAGACAGCGACAGAGCACUGAACGUCAGCACAAGGCCCUCUAAGCAGGGGCGUUGUGAAGCUGGACACACGCCCAGGACGCUGGCCCUGGACUAUUUUUAUGUGGAACAUUCUCUCAUAAACGGAGACUUCAAUGGUAAGAAAUAUUUCAUUUCAUGUGUAUAAAAUUAUCGCCUGGAUUUUAAAAGGCAGGCCUCAUGAACAGGCAAAAUUAGAAACGAUCUGAAUUCAAAACAAGUGCUAACAUUUGAAAAAUCAUGUUUAUUACAGCCAAAGAGAUAUUACAGAGUGACACCCUUGAAAGUUUGCCAGACUUUAUUGAGAAACAUUCUUGAUUAGACUAUUUUAAAAAUCUAGAAGCUUAUAUUUAACUUUGGAAUAUUUUCUUUAUCCUCAAGCUUGACUAUGAAUAUAUCUGAUGUUACGGGUGGUCAUUUCAAAUCGGUGAAGCACACUGUAAAGCUUUUAAACGGCACAAGGCAGAAAGAUGCCCACUUGCCCCCAAAACCACUCCACGCCACGACCAGAAGUCUCCCCUAACUGAUAGGUAUUUCCCUCGCUCACGCCUGACACUGUUCUAUGUGCGUUAAUGAUGUUAUAAGAAUUCAUCUCCCAAACACAUCAAAACAGCAUUUCCUAUGAAAAGUUCGGCAGCAGCAUCUUUUCGGAGAAAUUUAAUUGUGACUUAUUGGUAGAAUUGCUUUGGAUGAAGUGAUCUAAUAAGCUCUUGGGUAGGUUUUACUACACACUUCUAGAUAUAGUACAAAAUAGUAUGUUUUUCAAGCUACUGACAAGUUAUAGGUAUAAUAUUUCAAUAUAACACAGCAGGCCAAACCCCACGGUGUGGUGUGAGGGGGCUGCCAUUCCAGGAUGCUGCCAUUCCAGGAUGCCGCCCCUCCCGGCAGCUCUGUCUCUGACCCAGCACAGAUGGAGCAGAGACUGUGGCCCCAAGCUGCGCGCUCCAAGCUCUGGGGUGCAUUAGGCUGGGCGGGGAGGUAGGAGGAGGGCCAUGCUUCAACAUACAGAGGAAAUGGGGUGGGAAGUGAACCCAGCUUGGAGCAAACAGUGCCGUCAAAGGCAGUGGCUGGCCCUGGACGCUCCCUUUCAAACUGGUACCCGCGAUGCUCUGCUUCGGAGGUGGGCAGAAGCAAGCAAUUGACUCUCAGCAACACCCCGAAUUCUGUUUUUCCUCUCCAGUGACGCCCAGUGCUGGACUAUGGGUCUAUCAUUUAUUUCCUUAAGACCAAAAGCCAGAUUCCUCUCCCAGAGUAACUGUGUGAUGGCCCUCAACGGUCCAGAUUUCAACUCUGGCCGCGGGUGAUGGGCUCCUGCUUAGAGUGCGUGGAUCUCAGUGGGGUGUGAGAAGGAUACUCCAGGGAAAUCGACUUAAUAUUAAACGAGUGUUUGGUUCCGAGUCAAGAUGACUUUUAAGUUUGCUUUGCUUUGCAUUCUGAAAACCCAAGGGAGAUGGAGAAGAACUCAGCAAGAUCUAAAAGGAUUCCAAGAGAGCAAAAAUUGGGGUUGCUUUAAUUUGGGGCUAUACGAAUCAUUUCCAGGAUAGAAAUUCAAAGGUAAGAGAUUACUUUGCUUUUACCCUUGUGAUCUGGAAAGGGUUAGGGUGGAGUUUCUUGGAGCCUCUGGGGCCGCCCAGCAUGGGUGUGGCUUUAUGAUUUAACAAGAGUUUGCUUGAACCCUCCUAAAUUACCUCAGCCUAUUGAAUUGGAAAAUUCACCGCAGAAUGAAAAGACUCAGUAAAAAAGAGGUUUGGUUUGUUCAUGAAGGUAAGUAGCUUGUGAGAUGCUUUAUUUUCCUGUGACUGAAAAUUCCAGCUUGUAAUUCCCAGUAAAGAUGGCUUCAAGCUACUCAUUAGGACAAAUGAAACCUGUUUCACCACUCUCAUAGGAGAAAGGCAAAACGUCUUCAUUCGCCAACCUUGGGCCAUCCCCCUCUUUGAAGGUAGCUCUGAGAUUAGGCCUGUAAUGGAGACAGAGGCUUAGCUAACUGUGGGGUGGGUACAGGGUGGAAUCAGGCAGGAGAGGCGAAGUGUAGGCGUCCACAAGGGGCAAUCUUAGUUGCUACCGAGAAGGUCCAGAACUGUCCCAAAAGACAAUAAAGUUUCUGUAAACAAAGGACCCUUUCUAAGCCCCGAGAUGUCAUUUCCUUCUCAUUGGAGAAAAAGAAGGUGGGCAGGGGGUAGGAAGGGGGAGGUCGGAGAGGAGAAGGUAGUUUUAGGGGAAAGGAUGUGAGAGCACACUUUGAGUGGGAAGGGAAUAGUUUCAUUUUCUGGCAUUAAAAUAGGGAUUAAAACAAAAUCACUUAAGAAGCAACCCUAGAAUCUGGUAAACUAUUAACCAGACUUUGAGUGCAUUAAUUACAGAGUCAUUAGAAGAACUUGGUUGCUAGGAGCUCUGAGGUGGAUCAAAUGGGAUGGGAGUUGCUGCUGGGCUACGUUUUAUAGUCUCUGAAGGAAAUGUUUCCAUUGCAUUGUCUCCCAUUUGCGCUGGGGAUACAUAUGAUUUUCUCAGCAUUUAGGACAUACUUCCUCAAUCCUCCUCCUCGACUCUAGCUGACGUGUUGCCCAAGAAGCACUUCAGACGAUAAUAACCAGCGGCAAAGCCACCUACCGGAUUGUUGCUGGCCUUUCCCGCGAGGAUGACCCGGGCCUUAACCUUGUUCAUGUUGAAGUUCUUCAAGUAGGCCUCGUAAAUCCUCUUAGCGAGAGAUUUGAGAUCUGCGGUUUCAGAAUUUUUUUCUAGGUCAUGUUCACAUGUAAGGAUUUCUGCUUUCAAUUUUGCUUUUUCCGAUCUUGGCAUUCGUCCAAAACGAAUCGCUGGGGGUCGGAGGGGAGAAACGGAAGAACAGAAAACACAGAGAAAUGAACAACAAAACACGGCACGAGGACUAAUGGCUGGACGAAAGGUUCACACCACGGGUUAGACUGUGAGCAAACAUGCAUGGCUACGGUCACAUGUGUCAUAUGCCAGCUUUAGCCGAAUAGUUCUCCGAAAGAAACCCUGCGGAUUGAGAUACAGUUUAUUAAAGAAUAUGGGCCACUGAGGAAUCAGCGUCAUUCCUUUAUUCACGUUUCCUGUU